AGGACCGAGUGCCGCUCAC
rnacentral:snRNA from 1 species